AUCCCUCUUAAAAUACCAUGUUCAUUUCCUAUGCACCAUACGAAGGCACCACUACAAAAAAUCAUAUGUUUUGAGAUCUUGUAGGAAUCCCAUGAACAAGGAGUUUUAAUACUGUUUUUCUUUUCUUUUCUUUUUUUGUUAUUCCUAGGUUUUCUAAUUCCUGCAGUCCAAAGAAGUGCUGAGAAGUUUGUCUUAGGACUUCUACAUGUCAAUAAUUUCUUGAUAUGAUACUUUUUUUUCUUCCGGGUGACCAUCCAGCAAGUCGCAAACUUCUUUUGGAUGAUACAUUCUGGACUACACACGAUCUUUUUUCACCUUCAAAUAACAUAUGCGUCGUACAAACCUAAAAUAAUUAUAUACACUUGUUGUGACUAAGAAACAUAAUUAAUGUGUUGGUUUUAGAAAAGAAAAUGAGGGUCAUGAUUAGGUACAAUGUUUCCAUCGUUAAGCCAGACACAACUAGUCGCUCUGCUAGCGUCAACCAUGUGGCAUAUUUGAGAGGCCCGAAAUGAUGUGUGGAACAACGGAGGCACAUUCAUCCUUAACGUGGUGUUCAGAAGAUCAAGCAUGCUUAUGUCCAGUUGAUGUUGCGAAAUCUUUUCAAGACGGGACAUGUGCAUAGAUGUGAGUCAACCCCAGUUCUUAAGUGUGCAUUGUCGUCGGACAACUCGGCGAUGGUUAAGAUAGAUGCAAAUAUUUUCCCAGCCUCAAAACAUUGUUGGGAAUUGACAUCGUGAUCAAGGACCACAAGUCCACAAUCGCAUGUGCUUAUCUGCUUGC
rnacentral:lncRNA from 1 species